UCCCUGGUGGCUCAGAGGUUAAAGCAUCUGCCUCCAAUGCAGGAGACCUGGGUUUGAUCCCUGGGUGGGGAA
rnacentral:tRNA from 1 species